UUGUAGGGGCGCAGCCUGACGGAGCACACCGCGUGAAGGAUGACAGUCGUAAGAUUGUAAACUUCUUUUCUGAGGGAAGAAUUCUGACGGUACCUCAGGAAUAAGCAUCGGCUAACUACGUGCCAGCAGCCGCGGUAAGACGUAGGAUGCAAGCGUUAUCCGGAAUUAUUGGGCGUAAAGAGUUCGUAGGCUGUUUAUUAAGUUGGAUGUUAAAGCUUUGAGCUCAACUCAAACACGGUAUCCAAAACUAAUAAGCUAGAGACAGAUAGGGGCAAGUAGAAUUCUGCAUGUAGGGGUAAUAUCCGUAGAUAUGCAGAGGAAUACCAAAAGCGAAGGCAGCUUGCUGGAUCUGUUCUGACGCUCAAGAACGAAAGCGUGGGUAGCGAACGGGAUUAGAUACCCCGGUAGUCCACGCCCUAAACGAUGAACACUAGGUGUUGGAGGGCUCGACCCCUUCAGUGCCGACGCUAACGCAUUAAGUGUUCCGCCUGGGUAGUACGAACGCAAGUUUAAAACUCAAAGGAAUAGACGGGGACCCACACAAGCGGUGGAGCAUCUGGUUUAAUUCGACAGUAAGCGAGGAACCUUACCAGGACUUGACACCCCGAGAAGAUCGCCGAAAGGUGAUUGUGCCGUUAGGAACUCGGUGACAGGUGCUGCAUGGUUGUCGUCAGCUCGUGCCUUGAGGUGUUCGGUUAAGUCCGUGAACGAGCGCAACCCUUGUCUUAAGUUGCAUAUUUCUUAAGAGACUGCCGGUUCCAAAUCGGAGGAAGGUAAGGAUGACGUCGAAUCAGCAUGGCCCUUAUGUCCUGGGCGACACAGGUGCUACAUGGCCGGUACAAUGGGCUGCCAAGAGUAUCGGAGCUAUCCCAAAACGUCUAGUCGGAUGAGGGCUGCACUCGCCUCAUGAGUGAUCGCUAGUACCGCGUAUCAGCAUGGCGCGGUGAUUUGUUCUGGCUUGUACUCACCGCCGUCAGUCACGAAAGAUGGGGGUUGCCGAAGUACUUAGCCUA
rnacentral:rRNA from 1 species